UUGAUCAUGGCUCAGGACGAACGCUGGCGGGCGUGCUUAACACAUGCAAGUCGAGCGGUAAGGCCUUCGGGUACACGAGCGGCGAACGGGUGAGUAACACGUGAGCAAUCUGCCCUUCUCUUUGGAAUAACCAUUGGAAACGAUGGCUAAUGCCGAAUAUGAACCCCUUUCGCAUGUUGGGGGUUGGAAAGCUCCGGCGGAGAAGGAUGAGCUCGCGGCCUAUCAGCUUGUUGGUGAGGUAAUGGCUCACCAAGGCAUUGACGGGUAGCCGGCCUGAGAGGGUGACCGGCCACACUGGGACUGAGACACGGCCCAGACUCCUACGGGAGGCAGCAGUGGGGAAUAUUGGACAAUGGGCGAAAGCCUGAUCCAGCAACGCCGCGUGAGGGAUGACGGCCUUCGGGUUGUAAACCUCUUUCAGCAGGGACGAAGCGAAAGUGACGGUACCUGCAGAAGAAGGACCGGCCAACUACGUGCCAGCAGCCGCGGUAAUACGUAGGGUCCGAGCGUUGUCCGGAAUUAUUGGGCGUAAAGGGCUCGUAGGCGGUUUGUCGCGUCGGGAGCGAAAACUCAGGGCUCAACCCUGAGCGUGCUUCCGAUACGGGCAGACUAGAGGUAUGCAGGGGAGAACGGAAUUCCUGGUGUAGCGGUGGAAUGCGCAGAUAUCAGGAGGAACACCGGUGGCGAAGGCGGUUCUCUGGGCAUUACCUGACGCUGAGGAGCGAAAGCAUGGGGAGCGAACAGGAUUAGAUACCCUGGUAGUCCAUGCCGUAAACGUUGGGCGCUAGGUGUGGGGACCUUCCACGGUCUCCGUGCCGCAGCUAACGCAUUAAGCGCCCCGCCUGGGGAGUACGGCCGCAAGGCUAAAACUCAAAGGAAUUGACGG
rnacentral:rRNA from 1 species